UCUUUAAAAAAAAAUUCAUGAUUAAGAAAAUAUCAAGACGUUUCUCUGCCUAGGGGAAGGGAAAGUCCCCAGACCUUGGGCAGAGAGUGCCACGUGCACAUGUGUGUAGACAUCCCUCCCCUUUUCUCAAUGUUAAAACCCGCCAAGAAGCGAGUCUCGCUGAGCGGCGAGAUACAGAAGCAUCAGAUGUCUCAAGACAUUUCUAAAGAGGACGAUGGCUUUAAUAUUAUCGAAACUUUUAAUUCAAAAGACUAGAUUUUUUUUUUUUUAAAG
rnacentral:RNase_MRP_RNA from 2 species